ACGGGAACUCCAAGAAGCUGCUUUUAAUGGUGACCUAUUCCAUUUGGGCCAGCUCCAGUGUUAGAAAAGGCUUACACUUUCUUAUAGUAAGAUUAGAAAAAAAGAGUGAGGAUGAUGGAGAUUGAAACAGGCCUUCUUUUUUUCUUCCGAAGAGAGAAGUGAAGUGAUUGCCGAUGUUUGUUGAAUUUUAUUAUAUGGAAAGCAGAGAUUUCUCCACAUUUUCAGUCUCAGCCUAUGUCCUGCCUCACUAAGCUGUGUAUGUAUCACCGCUGAACUGAAGAAGCAGUUCACACUUGACCUGGAUCUUCAAGUUACUUGCGACCACUACUAAUGAAAAUCUUACUACUGGAUAUGCCAAAAGAAUUUUCAUUGGCUGAAAAGAAAUGGCACUAAAUGGAAAGCCCAGAUCUUCAAAAAGAAAUAAUGAGAACCAGAAAAGAAAAAUGUGAAGUGGAUGAUAUUCUCAGAUACCGUCUACCCAAGACAGCUUACUAGGAAGUGGCAACAUCAUCCUACAAAGUAUAUCCUUCAAUUAACGGUCUGGUCUUGAGGUUAAAUGUUUCCAGGAUAUAAUUCUGGAAAUGAUAUACAGGUGGGGUAAGUUUUUUUAAAAUGAUUUAUUUUGGUACUUCUUACUUGCUUAUGUCUGAUGUUGAGAAAUGCAUAAAUUCUCAUGUAGUUCUGAAUGCUUAGAUACUUCCCUAGUUACUGAAUUUCUGAUGUUGAGAAAU